GUACACACCGCCCGUCAAGCCACGAAAGUGGGGGGCAUCCGAAAGCGCCGYGCYAACCGCAAGGGGGUAAGCGUCUAAGAUGAACUCCGUGAUUGGGACUAAGUCGUAACAAGGUAGCCGUAGGUGAACCUGCAGAAGGAUCA
rnacentral:rRNA from 1 species